GUAAUAGCUCACUGGUCGAGUCGGCCCGCGCGGAAGAUGUAACGGGGCUAAACCAUGCACCGAAGCUGCGGCAGCGACACAAAGUGUUGUUGGGUAGGGGAGCGUUCUGUAAGCCUGCGAAGGUGUACUGUGAGGUAUGCUGGAGGUAUCAGAAGUGCGAAUGCUGACAUAAGUAACGAUAAUGCGGGUGAAAAACCCGCACGCCGGAAGACCAAGGGUUCCUGUCCAACGUUAAUCGGGGCAGGGUGAGUCGACCCCUAAGGCGAGGCUGAAAAGCGUAGUCGAUGGGAAACGGGUUAAUAUUCCCGUACUGGUGGUAACUGCGAUGGGGGAACGGAGAAGGCUAGGUUGUCCGGGCGACGGUCGUCCCGGUUCAAGCAGGUAGGCAGAGUGAUUAGGCAAAUCCGGUCACUUAAUGCUGAGAUGUGAUGACGAACCACCAAGGUGGUGAAGCAAUUGAUGCCCCGCUUCCAGGAAAAGCCUCUAAGCUUCAGGUUACCAACAAUCGUACCCCAAACCGACACAGGUGGUCAGGUAGAGAAUACUCAGGCGCUUGAGAGAACUCGGGUGAAGGAACUAGGCAAAAUGGUGCCGUAACUUCGGGAGAAGGCACGCUGGCGGUAGGUAAAGUCCCUCGCGGAC
rnacentral:rRNA from 1 species